CACGAAACUAGAUGAGCUAACAGAAAACAUUCUGUAGAAUAUACUAUGUUGCAUAAUAAUAUUAGAUUUUCUGUUAGGGAUGAUAGGUCUACCAAGUCUUGUGAUAACUUGAUGCUUUUUAAACGUAUUUAGUACAUAAACAAAUAAAGAAUGCUGAGGUUCUUUAUAAAUAUAAAUUUAUAUAACAAUAUAAUGUAUAACUUAAUCGUUAGCGUCUGAUUAUAAUAAUAUUUUAAUAUUUAUCAUUAUAGGUAUUAAAAAGCUCUUAAAUAACAAAUACAAUAAUUAUUAAUGUUAUUAUUAGUAACUAUUAGGUAUUGAUAAUGAACUCGGCAAUAAGCUCUUCAACUGUUUAUCAAAAACAUAGCUAUUAGGGAUAAUUAAUAGUACCUUCUGCUCAAUGAAUAUUAAAUAGCCGCAGUACCCUGACUGUGCAAAGGUAGCAUAAUCAGUUGGCUUAUAAUUGAAGUCUUGUAUGAAUGAAUAAAUGAGGAGAAACUGUCUCAUCAAUAUUAUAUGAAAUUACUGAACAAGUGCAAAUUCUUGUAGUUAAAAUAAUAGACGAGAAGACCCUAGAAAUUUUUAGUAUAUGUUGAUUAGGUUUUUGUUGGGGCAACAAUGUAACAAGAAAACUUACAUUAUAGACAAGAAAUUUUUUUUUGAAAGAUUAAAUUACUCUAGGGAUAACAGCGUAAUGCUAAGGCGAUUGCGACCUCGAUGUUGGACUAGGAAGCAAAUGCUUAGAA
rnacentral:rRNA from 1 species